GAAGGGGUGAGGUUGUCACUGCAGGGGCCAGCUCCAGUAAGUGGCUAGUGACUGACUAGCAGUGCAGUGCCUUUUUUGUUUUGUUUUUUAUUUCUUUUUUCUUGAGCUUGCUGCUUUUCCUUCUCCGCUCAUGUAAUGCACUCCCUGAACCAAGAAAUCAAAGCAUUCUCCCGGGAUAAUCUCAGGAAGCAGUGCACCAGGGUGACCACGCUAACUGGAAAGAAACUUAUAGAAACCUGGGAAGAUGCCACAGUUCAUGUUGUGGAGACAGAGCCCAGCGGUGGGGGUGGUUGUGGCUAUGUGCAGGACCUUACCUUGGACCUGCAAGUUGGCGUUAUUAAGCCCUGGUUGCUUCUGGGUGAGUAGACUGACUCGCCACUUCCUUGUGGAGUCCUAGGCUGGGUUCCUUUGCCAUCAGCUUCCCCUAUGCACACUAAUUCCCUAUGCACAAUAAUAUCAGCUAUCCUGAUGUACAGUUGAAAUGUUUACUUUUUUAGGUUAGGAACAAAAUAGGGACGUGUCUGCCCGCACAACCUUCUUCUGAAAACAUAGUAGCACUUUGACACCUGAUGAUUGAGUUUUAGAAGAAAUGUUCCUCUGUUUUUCUAACUUUCUUUAAAAGAUAAUGGGAUGUUGUAUUUUCUUGUAUUAUAGAAAAGACUAUAUCCUUUAAAAAAAAUGCAAAAAGCAAGUGGCUCCUUGGCUGUUGAAGGGAUGUUGAGGGCACACGUCCUUCCUGUGGCUGCAUCUGCUCGUGGUGCCUGUCUUUGGGUGUUAAACACAGGGCUUCUGCUUCAUAGCUAUGAACCCGAUGGUCUUAUUUCUUGUGCUAUGGAAAUACUGAGUUCGUAUACAAGCAUCGCCCACAGAUAACAAAAGAAACAAGCUUGUAAGAGAACUCACUUGUUACCUUGUUGAUCUGGGAUGGUGUUCUGUAGAAACCAGCCUGUUCCAUAAGUCUGCAUUGGUGUGCAUUUAUGAAUGAGAAAUUAACACUUGGACACAGAACCAGGAGUUAGACACACCCACAAUAUGAACUAUACACAGCAUAUAAUUGUUUUAAAGAUCUUCAAAUAGGGAUUAUCUUUAUAUUACAAACAGGAAUUGGCAUUAAUAUUGGUUAAGUAAUUUGCACAGGCAAUAGAUUCAGUAAAUAGCAGAGAUGUCCAAGGGGAUUAGGUCUAAGUCUGACUGACUCUUGCACACCAUCAUAGUACUAUGUUGUUUAAGGCUGGACUUACAUUAGGUGUUCCAAUUCAUUUAUCCUCUCAAAACUGCAAAAACCCAUCUGCUUACAUUAUUUUUUAGUUUGUUUAUUUUGUGUGCAUGUGUGCAUAAGUGUAUGCGCGUGUAGUGUGUGUGUGCAUGGCACUACACCUCCCCAGCUCCUGUCUGCUUUCACUGAAGGGACAUCCUAUAAGGUUGUUUUGGCAUUGUGAUUUUUUUUUUUCUUUUGGCAAAACUCAAGUCCCACCAUGUAUCCUAAGAACUGUCACAUACAUUUUCUCUAGAUUGACUCAAUGAAUAGGACCAGAUAAAAUUUGCAGUUUAGAGAAAAGAAAAAUACCAUCUUCUAACCAAUGAAAAGCAGAAAGUGAAGUGACUUUUGGCUGAGCUGGCUAGUUCAGAUCUUAUGUCUUCAUCUAAGAAUGAGAUUAUUUAUAUUCAUACUUUGCAACCCCCCCAAGCGUUUUCUGACCUCCACAAUUGAUCACCAACUCUAUCUCUGUCUGUCCUUUGUCUGUCUUUCUCUCUCCCUCUCACCCCCUCUUUGUCUUUCUCUCUCUUAUGUACAC
rnacentral:lncRNA from 1 species